CAAUAGCGUAUAUUUAAGUUGUUGCAGUUAAAAAGCUCGUAGUUGGAUUUCGGAUGGGACUUGCCGGUCCGUCGUUUCGAUGUGCACUGGCCAGUCCUAUCUUGUUGUCGGGGACUAGCUCCUGGGCUUCACUGUCCGGGACUAGGAGCUGACGAGGUUACUUUGAGUAAAUUAGAGUGUUCAAAGCAAGCCUACGCUCUGAAUACAUUAGCAUGGAAUAACACGAUAGGACUCUGGCUUAUCUUGUUGGUCUGUGAGACCAGAGUAAUGAUUAAGAGGGACAGUCGGGGGCAUUCGUAUUUCAUUGUCAGAGGUGAAAUUCUCGGAUUUAUGAAAGACGAACUUCUGCGAAAGCAUUUGUCAAGGAUGUUUUCAUUAG
rnacentral:rRNA from 1 species